rnacentral:rRNA from 1 species
AGAAUCAACGCUGGCGGCGUGCCUAACACAUGCAAGUCGAACGAGAAAGUGGAGCAAUCCACGAGUAAAGUGGCGCACGGGUGAGUAACACGUGACUAACCUACCCUUGAGUGGGGGAUAACCUAGGGAAACCUGGGCUAAUACCGCAUAAUACCUUCGGGUCAAAGGAGCAAUUCGCUUAAGGAGGGGGUCGCGGCCGAUUAGUUAGUUGGCGGGGUAAUGGCCCACCAAGACUAUGAUCGGUAUCC